AUUGAACGCUGGCGGCAGGCCUAACACAUGCAAGUCGAACGGUAACAGGAAACAGCUUGCUGUUUCGCUGACGAGUGGCGGACGGGUGAGUAAUGUCUGGGAAACUGCCUGAUGGAGGGGGAUAACUACUGGAAACGGUAGCUAAUACCGCAUAACGUCGCAAGACCAAAGAGGGGGACCUUCGGGCCUCUUGCCAUCGGAUGUGCCCAGAUGGGAUUAGCUAGUAGGUGGGGUAACGGCCCACCUAGGCGACGAUCCCUAGCUGGUCUGAGAGGAUGACCAGCCACACUGGAACUGAGACACGGUCCAGACUCCUACGGGAGGCAGCAGUGGGGAAUAUUGCACAAUGGGCGCAAGCCUGAUGCAGCCAUGCCGCGUGUAUGAAGAAGGCCUUCGGGUUGUAAAGUACUUUCAGCGGGGAGGAAGGGAGUAAAGUUAAUACCUUUACUCAUUGACGUUACCCGCAGAAGAAGCACCGGCUAACUCCGUG
rnacentral:rRNA from 1 species